AUUGAACGCUGGCGGCAGGCCUAACACAUGCAAGUCGAGCGGAUGAAGGGAGCUUGCUCCUGGAUUCAGCGGCGGACGGGUGAGUAAUGCCUAGGAAUCUGCCUGGUAGUGGGGGAUAACGUCCGGAAACGGGCGCUAAUACCGCAUACGUCCUGAGGGAGAAAGUGGGGGAUCUUCGGACCUCACGCUAUCAGAUGAGCCUAGGUCGGAUUAGCUAGUUGGUGGGGUAAAGGCCUACCAAGGCGACGAUCCGUAACUGGUCUGAGAGGAUGAUCAGUCACACUGGAACUGAGACACGGUCCAGACUCCUACGGGAGGCAGCAGUGGGGAAUAUUGGACAAUGGGCGAAAGCCUGAUCCAGCCAUGCCGCGUGUGUGAAGAAGGUCUUCGGAGUGUAAAGCACGUUAAGUUGGGAGGAAGGGCAGUAAGUUAAUACCUUGCUGUUUUGACGGUACCAACAGAAUAAGCACCGGCUAACUUCGUG
rnacentral:rRNA from 1 species